CUUGCUCUUGUUGCCCAGGCUGGAGUGCAAUGGCACAAUCUCGGCUCACCACAACCUCCACCUCCCCGGUUCAAGCGAUUCUCCUGCCUCAGUCCCCUGAGUAGCUGGGAUUACAGGCAUGCACCACCACACCCAGCUAAUUUUGUAUUUUUAGUAGAGACAGGGGUUCUCCAUGUUGAUCAGGCUGGUCUCGAACUCCCGACCUCAGGCGAUCCGCCCGCCUCGGUCUCUCAAAGUGCUGGGAUUACAGGCAUGAGCCACCGCGCCCGGCCCACUGAAGACAUUUUAAUUGUGCAUUCAUUCACUCAGCAGACAUUUAUUGAGUUCUAAAUAUUCUGCUAAGCCUUAAAAAUCCGUUAAUGAGAGAGCCUUCACCUCUGGUUAACAGACAUUGCCAGUUAAACAGACGCUAUCAGCCUUGUCCCCCAGCCAGUAGUCAAAGCUGUUGUUAACAACAGUUGCCAUCACAACUGAUUUUAAAGUUAAACAUUCCAUCCAUUUCUCUAGAUAUCAAAGGCACACCGUAAUAAACUCAUCUAGAUGCUGCUGUAUGGACGGUCACUUUUGCUAACUGAUUGAGUUUCGCAGAAGCCCUUGUGUGCUACUGUCACAGCCUUGACUGGCAAUUUGUGUGAAUACCUGACUCUGAGUCACAGGACGGAACGGAUGGAUAUGUGGUUUUCAUCUGACAAUUUAUUUUUGUGGUGGUUCACUCACUACAGGGCUUUUCAACUGGUGCAUAAUUUAGGUUAAAGUUUCUGAGCAGCUCUGGACUGCAAAAGGGCCUCCCUUCACUGAGCAGAUGUAUAUGACCCCGUGCUUCUCCGAUUCAUACCAAACUUCAGAGAAACUCCGGGAAAGGUUCCUUCUGUAUUUAUGGAUGAGAAUUAUGUGAAGCCUCUACAACCAUCGUAGUUCAUAUCUCCAGAGAGAGGUAUAAUUUGCAGUGAAGUGCACAAAUCAGUGAAAUUUUACGUAUGCAACCUUUAUCACUCACCACCCAAACCAGAGUGGUGUCUUCCCAACACCCCAGGGCCUCUAGUCCUUUUCCAGCGUUGCCUGAAGACACAAACUACUGAUGGCUGCAUCCACAUGACUGACUUCAAACACAGCACGCUGCAGGAGAAAAGCCGGAUACGCGCGUGGAAAGUGGGUGGCUCCACCACCCUGCUGUUCAGGUUUUCUUUCUGAAAGUUCUUUUGGCUUUAUUAUGGAAUAGAGGUUACAGAAAGGCAAAAGCUUUGGCCGUAGCGGGUGGGAAGAUCUUCCUUACCCUGGAGGAGGAAGUAGGGUCUCCGUAAUGUAUGUGUGGUACUCAGGGCUCCCGGCAGCCCGAAGCCAGAGUGUGUCCUCACCCUGCCCCGGGUCAGCCCUGUGACCUGGAGGGAGCAACUGAAAAGCUCUGGGCCUCGGAUUCCUCAUCUGUGAAAUGGGGAUGCUAACAGUGCUACCUCCUCUGGUUGGUUUGUGGCAGAGGACACAUGAGGCAACCUGUGUAAAAUGCUUGGAGGGUGGCCAGUGUGGUUACCAUGGAGAUUGACUGGUACCGUCUUCCACAUCCUGUGUUGACUAAGCGCGCACACCAGAAUACAGUUCCAAACGAUUAUCAAACAUGAAUACAAUUCAGAAAAUAAACAUGCAGCAAAACUUGCCAUAAAGAUUGCAUGAAACUAUCACUUUAAGAAAAAUACAUUAAAAAUUACCUUAAAUACCGAAAAGUACUUUUGUAAGUAAGGAUCAGUCCAAUAAAUUUAACCUGUAUUUGAAUCAGUGUAAAACAA